CGCCGGAGGGGCUGCUGGGCCGGGGGAGGAAGCCGGCGGGCAGCCCUUGGCCGGCGGAGGUACGGCUGCGAAGGAGGGGGAGCCCCGAGGGGUGGCGGCACAGCCUUGGCUGCCCUUGAGCAAGGCGCCUGCCCUCCAACGGGCUUGCUGCAGGAGGAAAGAAAGGAAAACGAUUCCAGAAAGGAACCCAUGGAUUCUGAGGCACUCUGGGUCCCCCCAGGGCAGCUGGACUGAGAAUGGGACCUGCCCGUUAUUGGAACUCUUGACGGGUUUGCCAUGAUCCUAAAUUUCUGCAGGAAUUCAUUGAACACAAUAUCUGGAAGGGUUUUGGCUAUCUAAAACCCAAGGAGAUUCUAGUUUCUUACACUGAAGGAAGGGAUUUACUCCUCGUUUGCAAACGUCAAGGAACAAGAAUUGGUUCUCUUGUUUUUGAAGAGGUAAAGGUAUGUGUGGAGCUAACCUGGAUUCUUAGACAAGGCAAACAGUGGCUAUGAUGGGGUCAUCAGGUUUUAAGGGGGUUGGGGGAAUAAACUCUGAAAGCCUGAGGUUGCUUACAACAGCGCAUGUUCCUGAACACACAACUGCUAGGCAGUUGAAACUUGGCCUUGCAUUACUGUGCAGAAGAUCCCCCAAUCACAUUUUCCCCAUAGGGUGGUAGAAUAUAGCCCUCAAUUAUCAGUACUAUCCAUAUCUGUGAGAGCUUCACUACUAUUAAAUGUUUUCUAACAUGUGAAACGGUUAUAUGACAUUAAUGAAGCUUGUUAUCUGACAUGCUAGGUUUCCAGCUGCAGGGAGAGACAGGUAUGGAAAUACGACGAAGCAAUCAAUUUGCACAGAAGUCCUUAAGUGUUAUUAGCCACAAAGGCUCCAGGUUCUGCUCUUUCAAAGGGUGGAAAUGCUGGAAGUCUCCAACUGGCAAUCUUAAUUUGCUGUGAAUGAUCAGGUCGCCCUUCUUAAAUUUUAUUUUUUUAUUUUUUUUUUGGAUCCCCUGAACCUUUGCAAAAUCCACUGCUUUUUAAAGAGUAAUAAUUUAAGAAAAAAGAAUUGCAGGGAUGUUUCUGUCACACAGUUACAGAGAAGAAUUGCUUUUGUAAGUAUUUUUAUAACUUGGAGAAAGGAAAGAAGAGCCUUGUCACUGUUAUGGCAAGUUAUUUUGGAAAAUGUUCAAAUGCAUUGUUAUGUAAAGCAGAAAAUGUAAAAAAAAAGCAAUAUCUUGAUAACCAGACCUCUCGCAAAUACAGAUGUAUGCAGGUGA